rnacentral:tmRNA from 1 species
GUCGAGAUUCCACCUGGUCUCGUUAAUCGGUGGACCUUCUUAAUUGCAAACGAUAAUUACGCUCUAGCUGCUUAAGUGCCGCUAGCAUUCUGCCUUCUGCACCUACGGUGAAGGGCCAGGGUGUCAAAAAAGUAGGUUACUCUAAUCUUUAGUAGAAUUAAUUAUAGGAGGACAUGUUAUGAAAAUUUCAAAGAAAGAUGCGUUGUUUUGGUUUGAAUUCUUUUCAAUAUUGCCAGAGGAUGAGGAUGUUAUGACAAAAC